CACCUCUCGCCCGUGCGCCGGGCCUGGUUUCUGGACGCCGUGGACUAGAUUGUGUGAGCCAGCUAUUACAGAGAAAAGUCAUUUUCACCCAUUCUGUAUAUUUUAGAAUUCAAGACGUAUAAUCAGAAGUCAUAUUGGAAAAGCAUGUGAAGAUGUGCGAGCUCCGAGGACAGCCCAUAAAAUAAAAUGGGAAUGGCUUUUCCCUCCUAUAAUUCAAAGCACUUUUCCCUGCUGCAAGUGGAAAACUCAGUUUGUCAGGCAUAAUUAGUCUACAGCUAACGAUUCAGCGGACAGUGAAUUCCCACAACUAGCCUUGGUUAGUGGCAACACCAUACGAUAGAAAGGGAGAUCAGUGAGAGGAGAGCAAAGGCCCCACGACACCGCCCUGUCCCUGUCCCCGGCCAGCGGCUCUGUAAUCCAUGGCUGUGCCGGCUGCAUGUCAGUGAAAUCGGCUGUCGAUGCCCCCUCAGAAGCUGGGGCCAUGUGCAGCCGCCUGUACCACCGACCUCCCCUGCCCAUGAGCGAUGCAGUUUUGGUUUUGGCAAUGAUAAUAACUGUGCACGGCGUACACCGGGGGCCCGUCAGGCACACGCCCGUAGGAGUCUGGCAAGAGAUGCGGACACCGAUGGCAACACCUGGCGCGCCCUGCUCCGUCCGCGCGCUUUCCCAGCGCCACUAGAACACGCGCGCUCUACACCUCUGAUUGGAUGUCCCGCUGUCCGCAAUCAUCCAAUCAAGGGGCGCGCAGUUUGCCCGCGCUGCGUCAAUCAGAGGCACGUCGGCGCUCAAGCGGUGCGCAAGACGGCAAACAGGCUGUUGGCCUGGAUGCCGUUCUGUCUGACGGGCACUCCCGUAUGUUUUCGUUGUCCCGUUCCGCGGUUCCCGACUUUCUACGGUCGAGCGGAGAGUGAGAGAGACCGGUGAUGCGACUCGACAGGCAGAAGCCGUCGGAAGUGCAAUUAUAACGUCAGUCUGCCAGGUCGUAGCUAAAGUGCCGGGGAUUUUCCCCCCUUCAUUUUCUGUUCAAACUAACCCGUUAAGGUCCACGACACAGCCAUUCAAGCAGAGUCAAUUAACUGUGUGCUUUUGCUAAUCUUCCAGCUAUAAUUGGUGUAAUUGCUUUUUCAAGUACGUAUGACCUGGCACUUUGUGAGAUUAGCGGCAGAGCAGACAGAGGGAGAGAAAGGGAGAGAAUGGUGAGGACGAGGAAGUUCUAUUCAAGUCUAGUAUCCCUCCAGCCUUACUAAAGUAACCCAAGAAUAAGACAGACAAUAUUUUUCAGUACAGAUAGCGAACUGUACGGUUCAAAGAAAUAGUGCAAUUCGACCAAACGUAUGGGCUUUUUAAUGCUAACAUAAUCAAGGCUUUAAUAACGCACAAUAAUAGACAACAAAUCUUCCCCAUGCUGGAACAAUUGACUUCAUGUAAUGUGCCAUUAAUCACUCAAAGAGGUUUUUUUUCUCCAAUAACCAGCAUGCUAAUUACUAAUCUAAGAUAUAUCAUUUAUUAUAUGGGAAAAUCAAUUUUGUAAAUGCCAGGGUAUUGCUAAUUGUUACUAAUUCAGCGCUUCACAAAUGACUUCCUUGCAGCUAUCCCACAAAUUUGUGUGUGUGUGUUGGAAGUGAGUUGAGUUGCCGUGACUUUACCCCAUAUUUUCCAUAUUAAACUUUCUGCAUUCCAGACUGCAGUCAUUUCUAAUAAAGACUUUUUGUCAGACGCAACGGAUAAUUCAGUAAUUGAUGAAUACUUAAUGGCUUUUUAGUAAUUGUGGGAUAAUUUAUUAUUUUCCCUGUGGACCAAAUAAUGCUUUCCUUCAUUUCAUCUGUUGUCAUUGGUGAUAUAUUUGUGUGUGAAUAAUUUUAUACAUA